CCCGAUGCAACGGAAGACGCGACGGAAGACACAUGUUCACUUCGCCGUUUCUAUUAUCGGAUUCGAAACGAUGACGUACCGUGGCACUAGCUUAAAAAGCAACGCCCACUCGACACAACUGGAGACACGAUGGAAGAAACGUGUUCGAGUCGCCGUUUCCUAUCAUCGGAUUCGAAACGACGACGUGUAAGUGACUUUUUAUUGGCGUGCGUUUUACUGUAAUUGCGAACGAUUUUAACUAUUUACUCACGUCCUGUAGAUCGCGGCACGAGCUUAAAGAGCAACGCCCACUCGACACAACUGGAGACAUGAUGGAAGAAACAUGUUCGCUUCUCCGUUUUCUAUCAUCAGAUUCGAAACGACGACGUGUAAGUGACUUUUUGUUGGUGUGCGUUUUAUUGUAAUUGCGAAAGAUUUUAACUUUAUUCACUUACAUCCUGUAGAUUAUGGCAUCGAAAACGAAGAAGAACCGAACAAAACAAAACAACCCAGAAUAGACUCAUUUUUUCCCAAGAC